CACACACCCAUCCAUAGCCCCCACAUACACACCCACACCCACACUCACCCACACACCCAUACCCACCCACAUACACACACUCCCCACACACCCACACCCCACACACACACCAACACCCACCCACACACACCCACACACCCCCCCCCCACACACACCCCCCACACACACACCCCCACACACACACCCAUACCCCCCCACAUACACACACACCCCACACACAUACACACACACUCACACACACACACACACCCCACACCCUCCCACACACACCCCCCACACACACACCCCCACACACACCCACACCCCCCCCCACACACACACCCCAUACACACACCCACACACACCCACCCAUAGCCCUCACAUACACACCCACCCACCCACAUACACACACUCCCCACACACCCACACCCCACACACACACCAACACCCACCCACACACACCCACCCCCCCACACACACCCACACCCCCCCCCACACACACACACCCCACACCCUCCCACACACACCCCCCACACACACACACCCCACACACAUACACCCACCCUCACACACACACACACACCCCACACACACACACACACACCCCCACAAACACCCACACCACCCCACACACCCAUACCAACCCACACACACCCAUCCAUAGCCCCCACAUACACACCCACACCCCCCCACAGACACCCCCACACCUACACCCCUACACACACACAUACCCACACCCACACACACCCCCCACACCCUCCCACACACACCCCCCACACACACACCCCAUACACACACCCACACCCACACCCACACACACCCUCACACCCACACACACCCACACACCCCCCCACACACACCCACACCCCCCCCCACACACACACCCAUACCCCCCCACAUACACACACACCCCACACACAUACACCCACCCUCACACACACACCCACACACACACCCAUACACACACCCACACACACCCCCACACCCCCCCACACACACACCCACCCCACACACACCCACACACACACGCUUCCCCCCGACACACACACACC
rnacentral:lncRNA from 1 species